GGAGUUAACAGUUUUGGAGUAUUUCAUUUCAGUGUUGGCCAUGGCGAAAGGCAAGUAUUUCAGGUAAUCACUGAAUACCCAAAAAAAAAGAUAUUUAAAUUAAAUAAGUCAACUCGAUCCAAUAAUGUGAUGUAAACUGAAAAUAUGGGUUGGAUUGAAUUGGUUUGGUUGAAUUGGUCGGAUUUAUCCAAACUUUAAACAUCCCUGCUUACUAUAACACUGUUAGUGAUACACUAAAAUAUAAAGAGCCUGUAAUUGGAUGACACGCAUGUGUCCUAAAUGAUAAAUUAAAAGAGGAACCCGGUAUAGGAGAAAAGGG
rnacentral:misc_RNA from 1 species